AUCCACACGACUCUCGGCAACGGAUAUCUCGGCUCUCGCAUCGAUGAAGAACGUAGCGAAAUGCGAUACCUGGUGUGAAUUGCAGAAUCCCGCGAACCAUCGAGUCUUUGAACGCAAGUUGCGCCCGAGGCCUUCUGGCCGAGGGCACGCCUGCCUGGGCGUC
rnacentral:rRNA from 4 species